rnacentral:lncRNA from 1 species
AUGAAUUAUAUUAAAAAUAUAAUGAAAAUGGAUGAUAAUAGUAGUAACAAUAUAAAUAAUAUAAAUAAUAUAAAUAAUAUAAAUAAUAAAAAUGAUUAUAAAUACUUUUAUAAUUUAAUGCAAAAUUCUUACAAUGAUUUGUCAAGUCAAGUAAAUCCAUCGAACUCAAAGGUAACUAAUACUACUACUGUACAUGACGAUACAUUAGUAGGUGUUACUGCUACUACACAUGAUACUACCCAAAACAAUUUAAAAAAAAAAAAAAAGGCUUUAAAAAAAAACGCUCACAUAUUUGAAAAAUUUCCAGAUAUUCCUAUAAGAACAGAUUUAAAAAAUAAAUGGAUAUACCACACACCACAAAAAAAAUUCACAGUAUGUAAAAUUGAUUUACAAGAGUUUGAAAAAGAAUGUAAUUUGAUAUAUAAACGUUUAAAAAUAAAUCCCAUUUAUUAUAGGAAAAAUGUAGAGGAUGUAGUAAAUUCAUUUGAGACACAUACAUCUGAUAAAGAACAUUCUAUUGAACAAAAAACAGGAAAAUACACCAAAAAAUAUAAUCUAAUAGAAAACAUAAAUGAUAUAUCAAAUGAGGUGUCAAUCGAGGUAUCAAAUAGGAAAGCAUCCAAUGUAGAACAAUUGGAGGGACAAGCUCCAUAUCAUAAAAUAAAUACUCAUUCAUGUACGAGAGAUAAAAAUGAAGAAGAUGAAAUUCGAGAGUUAAAAAAAAUAAAAUAUAACAACUUAAUAGAAAUAUUACAAUCAGGUAUUCGCAAUCCUACACUUAAUGAAAUUAUUAUUAACAUAAUUUAUCAUAAUUGUAAGAAUUGGCAAGAUAAAAUUGAUUUACCUACAUUCGAAACAGUAAUGAAUUCAUCUAAAAAAAGAAAAAUUGUAAACAGAUUUAAGUGCUAUUUAAGUUGGAUUCCCCCAUAUGAAAAUAAUACUUUUAAUAAAUAUCAAAUUAUAUGUAAAUUAAAGAAAAAAACAAUAUCCAAAACAUUUAAGUUAGUAUGCGAUUUUAAUAAUUCUCUUUUAAAAACUGUAUAUAUUAAUCAAAAUGCUAUUAAUAGAUUUCAAAUAGAAGAGAAAGACGAAACUGGAAAUGAAGAAGAUGAGAAAGAAGAGGAAGAAAAAAAAAAGGCUUUUUUACAUAUGAAAAUGUGUUAA